rnacentral:rRNA from 1 species
AACGAACGCUGGCGGCAUGCCUAACACAUGCAAGUCGAACGAGACCUUCGGGUCUAGUGGCGCACGGGUGCGUAACGCGUGGGAACCUGCCCUUAGGUUCGGUAUAACUCCCCGAAAGGGGUGCUAAUACCGGAUAAUGUCUUCGGACCAAAGAUUUAUCGCCUUUGGAUGGGCCCGCGUUGGAUUAGCUAGUUGGUAGGGUAAAAGCCUACCAAGGCGACGAUCCAUAGCUGGUCUGAGAGGAUGAUCAGCCACACUGGGACUGAGACACGGCCCAGACUCCUACGGGAGGCAGCAGUGGGGAAUAUUGGACAAUGGGCGAAAGCCUGAUCCAGCAAUGCCGCGUGAGUGAUGAAGGCCGUAGGGUUGUAAAGCUCUUUUACCCGGGAUGAUAAUGACAGUACCGGGAGAAUAAGCUCCGGCUAACUCCGUG